rnacentral:misc_RNA from 1 species
GAUGAAGAACGUAGCGAAAUGCGAUAAGUAGUGUGAAUUGCAGAAUUCAGUGAAUCAUCGAAUCUUUGAACGCACAUUGCGCCCCUUGGUAUUCCAUCGGGCAUGCCUGUUCGAGCGUCAUUUGUACCUUCAAGCUUUGCUUGGUGUUGGGUGUUUGUCUCGCCUUUGCGUGUAGACUCGCCUUAAAAUAAUUGGCAGCCGGCGUAUUGAUUUCGGAGCGCAGUACAUCUCGCGCUUUGCACUCAUAACGACAGCGUCCAAAAGUACAUUUUACACUCUUGACCUCGGAUCAGGUAGGGAUACCCGCUGAACUUAAGCAUAUCAAUAAGCGGAGGA